rnacentral:misc_RNA from 1 species
UUCGAGAGGAGAAGGUGGACGGGAAUGGGGAGGGGACUCCAUUGCCGAUGGAGAAGAUGGAAGAGAUAAGGGGAAAAGAAGAAAAUCGAAGAAGAAUGAGAAUUAGGGCAAAUGUAGUGAAAAUCGAAAUGGAGGAGAAGGUGUGAGAAGGAGUUAUGCCGGAAUGAGGAUUGUGAGAGAGGAAGGUAAGUGAACAGGGUUUAUCGGGUUGAAGGUGGGAAAGAAAAAGGAAAAAAUUUUGAUUUAAAUGAGUUAUGUAAAAGACUGCAUAAGUGAAAAAUGAUUUAUGCAUAACCUAUGCACUGUUCGGCAGGUAUUGAAAUCUUAGGUUAGUGGUCAUGCAGUUGUGCAUGAGUCAUGCACCUUCCUUAUGCAAGUUUCGGUGACCCUUGAAAUUUUGAGGAGUGAAGUCAUGCGGGAGUGCAUAAGUUAUGCACUCCCCUUAUGCAUCUCUCGGC